UAGAGGAACAGUGUCCAAGGCCAUUUAACAGACCUAUCAGCUUUGCAGAUCCUGUCGUGUCUAACUGCCAUGGCUAAGGAACAAUGCUUUGGCAUUAUCCACCUUCCCCUUGUUGCAAGGCUGAUCAAGUCCUGGCAAGUUGACACUAUCUUUCUGGAGUCUUCACCAUCCACAUUUGCUUGCAUACCCUCUGAAGUGGGCUCAUUUGUGAUGCCAGCUGUCCAUGCAAUGAAAUUGAAAAGUUCAUUUGGCACAAGAUGAAGAUGCUGCUGCAUCGUGUACAACUUCUGCUGCAAGAAAUGUUGGUAUCCAGCUUCAUAAAGGUUAUCGGAAUGUUUAUCCUCUGUUUUUGUGGAGAUGCAUCUUGUGUAGUCCCUGAAGCAUCUUGUGUAGUCCAGGGAGUUAGGUGGCUGAGUGGUUAGAAAAUCGGGCUAGUAAUCAGAAGGUUGCUGGUUCGAUUCCUGGCCGUGUCAAAUUACAUUGUGUCCUUGGGCAAGGCACUUUACCCUACUUGCCUCGGGGGAAUGUCCCUGUACUUACUGUAAGUCGCUCUGGAUAAGAGCAUCUGCUAAAUGACUAAAUGUAAAUGAAGCAACUUAAGUGGUACCUUGCCUCUGAAGCAACCAGAUCCCUGCCACGGAUAUGCAGUAAGAGGUUUUCAUCCAUCCUCCUCUCAGCAGCAAGUAGCAGCUUGCCAGCUGUGAGUGUUUCACACACUAUACAUUUUUCCUUUAGUGUCUUUCUGCUAAAUUUCUGUUUUGUAUUUUUCCCUUUUGCAUAUAAUGCAGUUUAAUGGGAGCAGAUGGCUAGCUCGCUUUGAUACACCAACUCCAAUAAGGCUUGAGCGUAGGGCUCGAAUUGUUGUUGGUGAUUCCUCAGGUAAAGGAUCUUUUAGGGCUUGUACCUCUUUGUAUUGCAAGACAAAACAGAAGGAAAGAGAGUAGUUCUUUUAGAUUAGAUCCAUUUCUUGAACUAAAUAUUUACUUAUUAUUAAUAAUAAUAUAUUCACAUAAUAUGUACUUCCAAUGAAUUGAACGUGUUGAGUUGUGUGGUUGACUAGAGUGGCAAGGUUAUGUAUACGAUUUGUUUAAUCAAGACUACUUUCUCUGUCCUGCUACAAGCCAUCUUUGUCCUGCCCAUCCUCUGCCCUAACCCUCCUGUCCCUUAUUAAGCAUGCAAUGUAUGUCAACUCAUUUUCUAAUAAAAUGUAUGGUGCACAUAGAUUGUAACAGCAAAACUGAUUCUGUAGUAAGUUAUUUGUAUACACUGACUCCAUUGUACAUCUUGCCAUAAAAAAUACUGAAUUUCAUACACACCUUCUGUUUGGAAAACCUUCUCCACAGCUGCCUUUUCUAUCCUCUUGUGUGCUCUAGAUAUAUUGGUAGUGUUGGUGAAGUUACUG